UCACCAAUAAAUACUCAAAUUUUGUCGAAGGUUGGUUUCAGUUCAACCCCAAAGAUACAGAGUCCUGACUUCUUUUAAGGAAACAAAAUCAGCUUGAAGCAAGCCUGUAAGAGCUUCCUGGAGACUCUUCAAGGCCAGAGAACCUCCUUUCUGCCGGGAAAGGCGUUGUGUUUUCUGAGGAGACCAACCUGAGGCCUCAGAUACCGGUAAACGUGGAAACUUCCCUCUGUCCGUUCAAGGAACUGUCAUUGUAGAACUGUUCCCUGUUGGGCCCAGUUGAUGAUUACAGGAUCACAUAGUCAUUUUAGCUUGUAAAAUGACAUGGAUGUCAGUGUCAAAUCCUUUUCUCAUGACUGUGUCCUUUUUGGCUGGGUGAAUAUGCUAAUUUGGAGAGUGAAGUGUUGGCCAUAGUGGGAGGCCUUUCAAACUGUAAACACCAAGUGUGGUAAAUGCCAAACAGAAUUGUAGGAAAGAAUGAUGAUGAGUUUUGCUGAGCCCCAGUAUGACUUUCUUUUUUUUCUUUUCUUUUCUUUUUUUUUUUUAAUUCUUGUUGUCUUUUGUGUGUGUGGUUUUUUUUUUGUUGUUGUUGUUUUGUUUUUUGUUUGUUUUUAAGAUUUAUUUAUUUUUUUAAUUGGGUAUUUAUUUCAUUUACAUUUCCAAUGCUAUCCCAAAGGUCCCCCACACGCUCCCCCACCCAUUCCCCACCCACCUGCUCCCACUUCUUGGCCCUGGCGUUCCCCUGUACUGAGGCAUAUAAAGUUUGCAUGACUAAUGGGCCUCUCUU
rnacentral:lncRNA from 1 species